AGACAAAUCACCUGGGAAUCUUGUUAAAAAUGCAGAUUCUGACUCAGUAGGUCCAGGGUUACCUGAGAUUCCACAUUUCUAGCAAGCUUCUGGGUGAUGCUGAU
rnacentral:pre_miRNA from 1 species